ACGCAGGCUGAGGGGCUCAGGAGGGCCUCCCAGAGCUGGUGGGGGAGGAGCACAGACUGUCCCUGCCUGAGGAUUUGGGGAGGAAGUGGGUUUGGCUCUCCCAUUCCGGAAGAUCCGGAGGUGAGGCUGCCAGCGGGGAAAUGUGCUCGAGAGUUCAGACUGGCACAGUGAAAAUCACUACCUACGAACCCACAGAAUACCCAGCCUACCUGCCGAAUUCAAAGAACUCAAAACACAGCUCUCUCUUUAUGAGAAAGGAAGGUGACAACCCAAAAGGGGCAGGAUGGUGAGUCCACAUGGGCUGAGCUGAGGCACAGACUGUCUACACCAGGGGAAGGCAUGAACCUGGUUCCCCACCCAGAGCCUGCCCGGCAGCAUGCAGCUCAGCCCCACAGGCCCCACCUCGGUGAGACCUUCACACUGAACGUGCGUCUGGAUCCACUCCAGUCGGUCCGAGUUUUCCUUCUCCCGAACUCCUUCGUUGACCUGAGAGCAGAGCUCCUCCGCCCGCUCGAGGGCCAGUUUCAGAGAGGAAUGGUCUACGUGAUUCUCCGGGGUGUUCUCCAGGAUCUGGAAGAGAGCGGGCUGUGUCACCUGGGAUGUCUUAUGUCUUCCAGCCGCCCCACCACCUGGGUGCUAGAAAUCCAACAGUGAGCAUGCAAUCAUCUACCCUUGAGAGGCUCAGGGUCCCCAAGUUCUCGGGGAGACAGGUGACUCAGUGACAAGAACGUGGGCCAAGUGCUGCAUGGAUCAAACGCCCUGAAACUGUGGGGCUCUGGGCUGAGGAACAGGCUGUGUGUUAAAGGGGCCUGCCUACUUCCCCCAGUAACUGAAGCCGGGUGCUUCAGGGUGAAUCCUCCAGUAUAAACCAGCUGCACCUUUGAUGAAUAUGUUAACUUGCUGAACAGCAAUAGUUUAUUAUAUUUUGGGGGUCAUUGAUCCUUUUGAAAAAUCUGCUGAAAGCAAUGAAUCCCCUGCCACAGGGAAAAAACAAAAAACAAAAAAACCCUGCAAUGAAACCAUGUUGCCAGCAUGCAGGAAAAUGCAUUCAGUUCAUCCUGAAGUGACUUCAAACUAAUGUUGCAAAGGUGAAAGGAGAGAGGCUGGAAUAUAACUUCAUGGGGUCCCUCUGGAAGUGAGCUGGCUCCUCAGAUGACUCCUGUCUGGCCACUCCAAGCCACACUCCUUCCUUCACAGUUUCCCAAACGGGAAAAGGCUCUGAAUGCCCAAAGCUUUCUUCAUUACUCAUCUGGUGGCAAAACCUGAACUAAACAGGCGCUAUGUACUUAGGAAUUCCACUUACAGUGAUGAUUCAUGAAUUUCCCGGUAGGACUGCCUGUGUGUUGGUUACCGGUGCUGCCCAGGCUUUUGUUGCAGUGUCAUGUAAUAUACAGCAUUCGCAUUACAUUCUGAACUCUGAACACAUCUGGCCCCAAAUAUUUCAGAUGAUUGACGUAUUAUUGAUUAUCUGCGGAAUGAUCCUUUGAAAGUCUGCCUUCUCCUUAGAAGGCGUGUUGGCUCAAGAAGCCCGCAUUGUGUCUAAAAGAUGGAUGGAAUUUCAGAGGAUCUGUGUAGUCAGCAAGCUGAGGUGGGAUGCAGUGAGGGACGACCACGCGCUGCUUAGGACCCUGAGCUGGAGAGUCCUGGGACUUCGAGCCACAGGUCUUUUUUUGCUUUUUCAGCAAUAGCAGAUCCUUAGUCCAUUGCAAUGGGGCUGAACCCACACCUCCACAGAGACAAGCUGGAUCAUUAACCUGCUGUGCCACAGUGGGAACUCCAAAAUAUGAUUUUCUAUUAUGAUAACCAGACAUAUGAAGCUCACUGUGUAUCACAGUAAGGGUGCUGCUGAUUCAUUUUAUUAUAUAUAGUACUUUCUGAGUAUAGUUCUAGCAUUACUUCUCCUAACCAACUGCUAGUUUGUAAUUUAUGACCGUGGCAUCAUGGAACCAGUUAUCUUCUCAUUGGUUUCUGGAAGGUUUGAUGACAUAUAUGAACACUUCUUGUAUAUAUAUAUAGGACCGGAAAUAUGCUUUUUAUUUAUUAUCCUAAUUUCUAGUGUUACAGUUUUUUCCUUCUAUCAUUUCCUUUUGUCCCAUUUUAUUCACCCACUUAUUUAAAACUUUUUUUUAUCUUGUUGCUUUUUAUACACUUAAGUAAGCUAUUUUAUAUUCUUUCUGGAAUAAGAUGGGUAUAAAAGAAAUACAAUUUACGAUAUCAAGAGUGACAUUCUGGAUGUUUUUUGGAGUAUAAAACAGUUAACAUAAGUAGGCUUAAAAAAAAAAAGUCUGCAAUUUAAGAUGGGCAAAAUCAUGGUCCCAGUACCAAGAAAAAUCAGUUCAACGUGAGAGGCAACUCAAAGCAGUCCGGAAGCUCUCUGCCAUAUUUGUUUCUUUGGAAAGUGAUGAAGACGCCUUUUUCCACCGCCGAGAUUCCCCAUGGGCCACCACACCCCUCGGCCUCCCAGCUGGGCACGCAGCAGGAGUUACCUUUAGGAAUUCCUUGAAGUCCGCGUGUUCAUCUGUCUUCUGCUGUAACAGCGCUGCGCCAUUCAGCUGACAGCUGCAGAACCGUAUGUAGGCCUGCAUGUGGGACAGCUCGGCUGCCAGGAUGUCCCCGAUCAUUUGCACGGGCAUCUUCUCACCCCCGGUCUUCUUCCGCACCCGCAAGGCCCUGCAACCAACACACCGUCUCACUCCCCUUUCUACGUGGAUGUCCUUUGUAAAUGAGGCAUGAGUCCCUUGGAAGACUAAGGACAACCAGAGGGUUACCUAAAAACCUCUGGCAUCGCGAGGGCAAAGUCAGGAGGAGGAGGCAACCUCGGUGAACUGCUAGCAAAGAAGAAGAAAAUGAAACCUGUAACCAAGAAGAAAGAAAUUUCUGCCCCCUGUGGGGGGAAGAAAGGAGCCCAUGGAGGCCGGGCUAGAGGUGGAGGUGGAAGCGGGCCUUGUUCCCAGAGAGCUGCUGAGCCCCAGGGAGGGCGCAGAGGCAGCAGGUGCGGGGACGGCUCAUGCCUCCCCCCAGGAGCCUGUCCUCAUAGGCACAAGGGACGGAAAAUCACCCAAGGAAUGGAAUUUCACACUGGACUUAGGCUGCCAGAGCUGGGCCACGAGCUGCAGUUCUCGCCUGACUCUAUCCCAUACAGAGUCAAGUCAUUUUGGAGUCAUAUGUGAAUAUACUGUUUGUUUAAUGAUUUAAUUUUUUUUCUUUGCUUAACCAACUAUUUUGUUAUAUUCCUUUACUUCAGUGAUUAUGCCUUUUACAGUUAGAGAGCAUUUCAUAAAAUGAUCAUAAAAUAAAAAGCCGGAGGG
ensembl:lncRNA